rnacentral:rRNA from 1 species
AGCAGCCGCGGUAAUUCCAGCUCCAAUAGCGUAUAUUAAAGUUGUUGCAGUUAAAAAGCUCGUAGUUGAAUUUCGGGGUUAGUAAGUUGGUCAUGCCUCUGGUAUGCACUGGCUUUACUGAUUCCUCCUUCUUGAUGAACUGUAAUGUCAUUAAUUUGGUGUUGCAGGGAAUCAGGACUGUUACUUUGAAAAAAUUAGAGUGUUUAAAGCAGGCAUAAGCUUGAAUACAUUAGCAUGGAAUAAUGAAAUAGGACGUUUGAUCCUAUUUUGUUGGUUUCUAGGAUUGACGUAAUGAUUAAUAGGGAUAGUUGGGGGCAUUAGUAUUCAAUUGUCAGAGGUGAAAUUCUUGGAUUUAUUGAAGACUAACUACUGCGAAAGCAUUUGCCAAGGAUGUUUUCAUUAAUCAAGAACGAAAGUUAGGGGAUCGAAGACGAUCAGAUACCGUCGUAGUCUUAACCAUAAACUAUGCCGACUAGGGAUCGGAUGAUGUUAUUUUUAAUGACUCA